CUCAAAUGGUUUCCAAGUCAUAUACAUUCCCUUGAAGUUCUAUAGAUAUGAUAUUCAUGGGGUUUCUUAUUUUUUUUCAGAUUAAUAUAGGGAAAUUUUUUUUGUAAUGGUGAUGUUGCCUUUAGGGAACUUAAAACCAUAGAAGAGCAUUCAGAUGAAGACCAGAUUUUUUUAAUUAAAUACACAUUAGAUGAAGUGCUGAAAAACUGCCUGGUACUAAUGCUUUGUAGCAUAGACUUGUCAUUUUUUGUUAACAAAAUUAUUUUAAUGACCAUUUUGUGAAUGGUCUUUCUAAAAUAGCAAUAUCAUGCUGUUAACAAUCUUUCUUUCCUUAAGAUACUAAGCAUUUAUCCAGUAUUAGUGUGACUUAAUUUUAUUUUCUAGUUCCAAUAAUGCUGCUUUCCUUCAAGGUGCAAAGUUUAUGAAACUUCCAUCACUCAGAUUUUGUUAUUCAGCUCAGAACACAAAGUUGAUCUCAAAAUCAUGUUAGUAUCUUUGUAAAUGUGUCAGAAAAGGCUGCCUCUUUUCUGUUUUUGUUGUUGGAACUGAAAUUUUAUGUUUUGGAGGAGCUGCUCUUGGAAGAAUAGAUCAAUCAACCAUAAAUUAAAAAACAUAAGCGCAAUCGGGCCUGCUGGAACAAGAAGCGUGCAGAGGGUUCUUCAAAAACAACAACACUUCAAGAUACCAGUCUCUUGUCAGUAAUAUUGGAGGGGGAGAACACAGGAAAAAAUAAGUACAGUAUUUUACUGUCAGUGCCCUGCCAACACCCUGUUAACCAGUAUUUAAGGGUUCUGUGGAUUCUUUACAGAUAUUCCUGCUUGUUUUAAUGACAUAAUCAAGAAGGUGUUUUUCCCAAUACUGAAAUGUCUCUAUAUUUGUCUUAAAUGUGUGUGUGUUUAGGGAUUAUGAAAGUAGUUUAUUAUGGAAAAGUGCAAAGUAAUUUGUUUUGUUAAUGCUAAAGUAUGUUUCAUGCUGCAUCUCCUGAAAAAUUGAAAUGUUCUUAUAUUUAAUUGUGACCAGAAUACAGGCAAAUUAGUUACUUAAGAGAGUAAUUAAGUUGUUGUUAUUUGUAAACAAUUUCAGGAAGUUCUGCAUCAAACAUGAAAACAAUAUAGUUGAACCAUAAGGUUGACAUUAAUCAUGUGUAUCUUACACUUAAUAUUAUGUCAAUGCAUCACACAAUGUCACAGUCAUAUAAAGAAUUAAAAAUACGUGUGUACACUGAAA